rnacentral:tRNA from 1 species
GCCCGCUUAGCUCAGUUGGAUAGAGCAGCGCUUUCCUAAAGCGCAGGUCGCAGGUUCGAACCCUGCAGCGGGCA